rnacentral:rRNA from 1 species
GACGAACGCUGGCGGCGUGCCUAAUACAUGCAAGUCGAACGCUUUUAUCAUCACCGGAGCUUGCUCCACCGAUGAUAAAGGAGUGGCGGACGGGUGAGUAACACGUAGGUAACCUACCCAACAGCGGGGGAUAACACUUGGAAACAGGUGCUAAUACCGCAUAAUUGCUUUUACCGCAUGGUAGAAGUAUGAAAGACGCUUUCGGGUGUCACUGAUGGAUGGACCUGCGGUGCAUUAGCUAGUUGGUGAGGUAAAGGCUCACCAAGGCAACGAUGCAUAGCCGACCUGAGAGGGUGAUCGGCCACACUGGGACUGAGACACGGCCCAGACUCCUACGGGAGGCAGCAGUAGGGAAUCUUCGGCAAUGGACGAAAGUCUGACCGAGCAACGCCGCGUGAGUGAAGAAGGUUUUCGGAUCGUAAAACUCUGUUGUUAGAGAAGAACAAAGGUGAGAGUAACUGUUCACCUCUUGACGGUAUCUAACCAGAAAGCCACGGCUAACUACGUGCCAGCCGCCGC